UACGUAGGGUGCGAGCGUUAAUCGGAAUUACUGGGCGUAAAGCGUGCGCAGGCGGUUCGUUAAGUCAGAUGUGAAAGCCCCGGGCUCAACCUGGGAACUGCAUUUGAAACUGGCGGGCUUGAGUGUGGCAGAGGGGGGUGGAAUUCCGCGUGUAGCGGUGAAAUGCGCAGAUAUCAGGAGGAACACCGGUGGCGAAGGCGGGUCUCUGGGCCGAAACUGACGCUGAGGAGCGAAAGCGUGGGGAGCAAACAGG
rnacentral:rRNA from 1 species